GCUUAUUGCCAUGCCACCCUGAACGUGCCCGCUCUCAUCUGAUCGCAUGAAGCUAAGCAGCGUUGGGCCUGGUUAGUGCUUGGAUGGGAGACUGCCUGGGAACACUGGGGUCUGUAGGCU
rnacentral:rRNA from 1 species